rnacentral:rRNA from 1 species
CCUACGGGAGGCUGCAGUGGGGGAUAUUGCACAAUGGAGGGAACUCUGAUGCAGCGACGCCGCGUGAGGGAAGAAGGUUUUCGGAUUGUAAACCUCUGUCUGCGGUGACGAAACGAGACGGUAGACGAGGAGGACGCAACGUCUAACUACGUGACACCAGCCGCGAGAAUACGUAGGUGGCAAGCGUUGUCCGGAAUUACUGGGUGUAAAGGGAGCGUAGGCGGGGAAGUAAGUUGAAUGUUUAAGGUACGGGCUCAACCUGUACAAGCGUUCAAAACUGGUUUUCUUGAGUGGAGUAGAGGUAAGCGGAAUGCGUAGUGUAGCGGUGAAAUGCGUAAAUAUUAGGAGGAACACCAGUGGCGAAGGCGGCUUACUGGGCUUUAACUGACGCUGAGGCUCGAAAGCGUGGGUAGCAAACAGGAUUAGAUACCCCUGUAGUC